AUUGAACGCUGGCGGCAGGCCUAACACAUGCAAGUCGAACGAGUGGCGGACGGGUGAGUAAUGUCUGGGAAACUGCCCGAUGGAGGGGGAAAACUACUGGAAACGGUAGCUAAUACCGCAUACCAUCAGAUGUGCCCUGAUUGGAUUAGCUAGUAGGUGGGGUAACGGCUCACCAAGGCGACGAUCCCUAGCUGGUCUGAGAGGAUGACCGGCCAAACUGGAACUGAGACACGGUCCAGACGCCUACGGGAGGCAGCAGUGGGGAAUAUUGCACAAUGGGCGAAAGCCUGACGCAGCCAUGCCGCGUGAGUGAAGAAGGCCUUCGGGUUGUAAAGCACUUUCAGCGGGGAGGCGGUACCCGAAGAAGAAGCAACGGCUAACUCCGUGCCAGCAGCCGCGGUAAUUC
rnacentral:rRNA from 1 species